rnacentral:lncRNA from 1 species
UUAUCUCUUCUGUUACAUCUCAGGACACCGAACAACACUGAAGAGAAAAGUCUGGUCAACCACCUUGUGAUGUGCUUCCUUGGAAAAAAUCUUUCUUCUUUUAACUUAUUGCAUAAUUUUUGCUAAGAAACUUUGAGCUUUUUCCUUUUGUUGAAUAGAAGCUGAGAUAUUCAGCUCCAGGUAGACACUGUUGACUUUGAUGAAACUCUGCAAGACUUUGCCAGCUGAAGUGCAAACUCCUUCUUUAACAGGAGAGAAGGAGAACAGAGCUGGUGUCACAUUGUGUGUCUGCACAGAGGAGAGUGGUGCUGUGCAGAGGAUCCCAGGGAUUUAGCUCAGAAGUCUCUUCCAGUGCUGUGAUGGCAAAAGACACAGCAGCAGAACCUCAUAAUGCAGCAGAGAGCAGGUACCCGACUGCAAAUCUCCAGCCCCUGGGAAAUUCCAAUGAACAGUAAGACACAAACCCCACAGGAGACUGUGCUUCAUUCAACUAAGAAGACUGGCAACAUGGUGGGAAACUCUUGGCUGCACUCUGCUGAUUCAAGUCUGGAGAAGAUAUGGGCAAGGGCAGAUGAAUGGUAAGUCCAAGAAGUUUAGGAAAUAGAGACAG